rnacentral:lncRNA from 1 species
UUUUGUUUUGUCUCAUAAAAAAUAACAAACUUUCACUCCUAUCCAAAAUCUAACCCUUACCAUUAACUUUCUAUUUGAAGUUAACCUUAUUUCAAGAGAAAAGGUUCUAGCUGUGAGGUUGGUGGAUCUCAUCCAUGGUUUCUGUUAACAGGCGGUGAUCUACAGUUUCAUAUUACGACAAAACAAUAAAGUCUAGCGAGAGAAAUUCAAUCGGGAGAUUUUUUUUACUUGCUAGUGAAGUAUAGGAGAUGGCAUAGUUUCACUAUUAUUCUUCAAGCUAUGGCUCAAACAAGAAGAAAAUGGAUGGUGUUAGCCAACAAGUGCACAUGGAUUAAGGACAAUCAAUGAAUAUAAGUUAAGGGUGGCCAGAUUUAGAAUUUAAGUGAAAGUUGAUGAUUUUUUUUCCAAACAAA